AUUGUUAUCAAACUCUCAAAAAGGAAAAUCAGCUUUAUUCUAAUUUGGCAAAGCUUGGAGGAUAUUUUUACAGCAUGAAGAUAAGAGGAUGGGAAGGGAUGAUCUUCAUGAGCCUCAGUGGUACUAUCAUAUUAUCAUAACUGCUGCAAAGUUCAUAAAAUGAUCCCUGUUUCAGACUCAGAUCAAAGGAACAAGCUGAUCAAUACGUUUCAGCCAUGGAAUACUGCAUCAAGAAAAACAAUCAAGUUGAGCAUACUGCAAUGUUUUGACAGGAGAUUCCGUUAGCUUUCAGACAAAGUAAUCCAGUAGAUAGGUCAACAGAUUUUCAAGGAACAACAAGCCUUCAAUGAACUCAGCCGGUAAUAGAAGGUUUUUUUCUGCCUAAAUCUUAUAUUUUCAAUCUGUAAGAAUCUGUUUUGACAAUGACAUGAAACUUGUAAGUCACAUCGUUUCAUCCAUACUCAUGCAUCAACAUGUUCCAUAGAAAACUUAUACAGAACUGAAUCAAAAGAAGCUGCUUUCAUUUCAAGAAUUUGUUCAAUCCUAAAAAAUGUGAAAUCUAUCUAAGGAAGUGCAUCGACACACAGCGUGUGCUUAGUCACAAUUUUACAUACAUCAUUGCUCGGUCCCCAUCAUAUAAACUGAUACCAUUUCAUUUUCAUUCCCUGCACUCUAUCUUCCUAUUUGAUCCUACAAUUGGACUCACUCAGUGUACUAUUACCUUUUCUUUUCACUGUGAGAUCCAUGCCUCAUUACCUGUAUGUGCCAUUCUGUGAAGGGAGUCCAGUACUAGCUAAUUCCACUUAGUACAAGAUGUAUGCCUGAUUAUCUGUGUGCGCAAUUUGUCAAGAACACACAUGGUAAAGUUUUAUCACUACUGCUUACCCGGUUACUCUCCUCUCAGACUGCAUAAUUGAAUUACCUCAAUAUUAUGUUGUAUUCUAUUCAAUCUCAUAUAUGUCGUUUCCAUUACAAACAAAUAUCUUUCUUAUUUCUCACAGUAACAAUUCUCUCAACACAUGCUCCACAGCACGACGACGACGAGCAUCCGGAGAAAUCAUCUGCGUACAUUCUAAAGAUUGGUGAUGGAGAUGCUACCCAGUGCAUGAGUGGAUUCAUAGCCUUGGACUUUCCUCCUCCCUAUGGACCUAUCCGGAUCCUGGGUGAUAUAUUCAUGGGAGCCUACCAUGCUGUAUUCGACUAUGGCAACAUGAAGGUUGGGUUCGCGAAGGCGGCAUAGGGUCCCCCAUGGUGGAUGGAUGAGCCGCAAAGCUGCCUAAUCUUCAGGUCGGUUUCGUCUUCGUCAAAGCAUGUAUGUGCAUAUGUUACAUGCUUAAUAAUAAUUAUGUGAUCUGGGAUAAUAAACAUGUCUGUUAUGAUUUGUCCAAUAUAAUGAAGCAGGCUUUCAUACUCAUUAUUUGCAUAUAAGCAUGUUUCUCUUGAAUCCCAACUGAAAAACGUGUCUACAACGUGUUUUUGUUCAUAUCUGCUUAUUCACCUAAAAUCAUAUUUGGGGUAUCUCAAAAGACUCAAAUUAGAUCGAUGUAUUGAAACUGAAGGAUGGUCGAUUUGGUUGGGAGUAAAAACUGUAGGGUAAUGCACUUUUUUUAUAUUGAGUUGUUUCUUGAACACAAAUCCUUGGGAGAGGAAGAGUUUCUGAUGCGGGCAAGGAAUCAGAUCUUCAGGUGACCACACAUUCAUUCAAACCAGGUGACCCAUACUUCCUUUUAUCUCCCUUGCAUUUUUGAUUUGGUUCACCUCCACUCCCAUCCUAGCUUGCUCUUUUGGGUUCCUAUAGGUUGGUUGCAAGGCAGUGAAGAACUGAAAUACCUGAAGAGAACAUUAGGAGAUGAUGCUAGAAGCUUGCUUGUGUGCUACCUGUUGUUGUCAUUCGAAGGAGGAAGGAAUGUGCAUAUUCUCAUUGAAUAGAAAAAAGAGGCACUAUGUGUAAAUAGGAGAGUGGAAGGGGCGGCUCCCACUUGGCACCGCCCCAACUUUCUAUCAAGAGGCGCCCCAACCCCUAGUACAUGGCAAAAUGAGUGGUGAUGGAGGCGUGUGGGCGAUGUGCAAACGCCCACGCGUGUGGGCGUUAACAUUUCCGAAACUUUAAGCCAGGGAUUUAGCCAAAGGGCCGGGCCAGAAAAAUCAGGGGUAUGUGCCAAACUAUUGUGAAGCAAGGCUUUUCUCUCCAAACGUUUUCUCCUCUUAGGACAAACUCUCCCCUCCAGGCUUCAUCGGCAAACCCGCGGAUUGGCCUCCCCUCUACUUGCUGCUAUGGCGGCCAGUGGCGUGGAUAGGAAUUGUGUUUCGACUAGUAGUUUAGGUUAGGGUUUGUUAGCCCUUGCAGGUGCCGCGCUCAGGCGGAUGGCAAGGCCUAUUCUGUGAGUUUGUGUUCCGGGCUCUGAUCCUCCUUGAGUUCGCCCAUCUGGAUGUAGUCGAGGAGCUCCAACAUAGAUUUCUUCCGUCUCCUUGAAGCGGCGAGGUUAGGAUUUCUCGCCGCGUGUCGCGACAGCGAGAUUUGUUGUCAGUUGCUUCA